CAUUCUUGCACUGAAACAGCUAUCACCAAAGAACACAAGUCAAAAUGCAAAUUCAGAAUGACUUUCCUUGUCUGUGACAUGUCAAGAGACAAUGAUAUAAUGUAACAAAAUUGUCUCUUUCUUUUUAGAAAAAGAAAAAGGAAAAGAAGAAAUCAAAUAGGGUGAGCAAAGUUUUCAGGUUUUUAAGUUUUAUGUGCCUUGAGUUCCUGAAAAGACAAAAUAAGACUGUAAUUUGGAAUUUUACAUAGAUGUUUAAGUAACUAUGCUUAUGUUACCUGUUAUCUGAGAGUAGUAGUUUAGUUUGUAUUUGAGGGGAAAAGAUUUAAAAAUAAGAAGGUCUUACUUUAAAAAUAGAAAAUAUGGCUAAAAUGCCAUACAUUUGCUUGUUUGAGGAAAUAUCACUCAUACAGCUUAAUUUAAGAAAAUUUCCGCAGGCUAGACUCUUGAAACUAAGAUCACUGUAGAUAAUAUUUGCAAAUGCAGAGACAAAUUUGAGAGAGUAUUUGGAUGUUCCUUUAACUAUUUCUCAAACAGACAAAAUGCUUCAUCUCACAAGCUUUAAUUUUUGUUGUGUUUGGUCAAGUUGUCUUCAUCUUCCUCUUCUUCAUCAAGCUCUGAUUCUUCCAGCAGUUCAUCUGAUUCUGAUGAUGAGGAUAAGAAACAAGGGAAAAAACGGAGAAAGAAGAAGUAUCGCUCCUUGCGGAAAUCUUCUGAAAGCUCUACGUCUGAUUCUGAAUCGGACAGCAAGGACAGCACAAAAAAGAAAAAAUCAAAGGAAGAACAUGAAAGAGAAAAGGACAACAAAAGUCUGA
rnacentral:lncRNA from 1 species